rnacentral:rRNA from 1 species
CACGUAGGGCGCGAGCGUUGUCCGGAAUUAUUGGGCGUAAAGAGCUCGUAGGCGGCCUGUUGCGUCCGCUGUGAAAAGCCCCGGGGCUUAACCCCGGGUCGGCAGUGGAUACGGGGCAGGCUAGAGGUAGGUAGGGGAGAACGGAAUUCCCGGUGUAGCGGUGAAAAUGCGCAGAUAUCGGGAGGAACACCGGUGGCGAAGGCGGUUCUCUGGGCCUGUACUGACGCUGAGGAGCGAAAGCGUGGGGAGCAAACAGG